UUCACAUCCUCAGAGAGGUGAUAGUUAGAAGUCAAACACAAGCUGAUACCUGUAAACGGAAAAGAAAACACCAAACAAACCAAAACAGUGAACACAUGCCUGAAUCCAGUAUUCUUUCAUCCUUCGAGGAGGCAGCAGGUGUCCCAAGCAGCAAGAGUCGUGCCGCCAAUCUCCCUCCCCGGGAGCGACGCUCGGCAUCUCGGCAUCAAGUCACCAUAGCGUUGGACUGUAUGAGAAAACUGAGGCUCAGAAAGGGGAAUUCAUCUGCCCAUGGACACAAAGUUGAAAAGAGGCAGAGCUGAGGCAUGAACUCAGGGCUACCCCAGCCUUCUCUCCACCUUAGGUAACCUGCUUUCCACAGAAACCGUGGGGAUCAGUGGAAGCCAGAAGAGAGGAUGAAUCCAUGUUCCAAGAGGACCUCCCAGGGUAGGGCUGGAGAAGUGGGUUCAUUCGUCAUGUCCAAGAGACAAGCUUGAGUAGAAGCUGGAAGGCAGAGCCAGAGGCUGGGGGACUGUGGGAACAGAGGCAGGGCCAGGCCAGGAGUGGGAAGGUGGUCCAGGCCUUUGCCAGGAGGAGGGCUGGGUCCCUUGGGACACCUGUGUGAUGGUGCUGACUGCAUGGGGCUUCGAUGGGGACUGUUCACGUUGACGAACAUUUACUGAGUGCCCACUGUGUGCCAGGCACAGGCCACCUGUAUUGGGGCUGAGGGGCCUAGAAGAGGCCCAUCCCAUGGACGGAAGCUACUGUGGUUUGGGCUCAGAUGUGAGGCCAUUUGUCUUGCCCAUCUCCUCAUCCCUAGAAGCCCUACUAGUCAAGGCUACCCCCAAAACACCUCUCCACACUGUGGUGUCCCGCUGCAGCCCAUAGUAUACUUGUCUCGGCCUUUUACCCCAGUCCCCAGCCCAACAAACUAAACCGGUCUCUGCCGGAUCUCUUUUCUCUUGUUGACCUUAAAAUGUACCACCCCCCAAAUGUCUGUCUAUCACCAUCUAUUUUAUAGCUUUAUUCAAUUAUAACUGACAUGCAAUAAUCUGCUUGUAUUUAAACUUUGUAAUUUGAUACGUUUUGACAUAUGUAUAUACCUGUGAAAAUAUCGCCACAAUCAAGAUGAUGGAUAUAUUACCACGCAGAAAGCUUCCUCGUCCGCCUUUGUCAUCCCUCCUGUCAGCCUCACAUCCCAACACCCAGGCAACUGUUGAUCUGCUUUCUAUCUCAGAUCUUAUAUAAAUGGAAGAAUAUAUAUAUACACAGAAGUCUGGCUUCUUUCACUCAGCAUAAUUAAUUUUAGAUUCAUCCAUGUUGUUGUGUAUCACAGUACUUCAUUCCUUUUUAUUGCUGAGUGGUAUUCUAUUGUACAGACGUACCACAAUUUACUUAUUUGUUUCUCUGUUUAUUUCCUUCCUUCCUUCCUUCUUCCCUCCUAUCUGUUUAUCUACCUACCUAUCAUCUAUCCUUCAUCUACCUAUCUAUUCACUUCCUCUAGAAUUGAGCCUACUUGUAAGGAUGUUCAUCACAGCAUUUAUAUUUAAUAGCAAAAGGACUUAUAACAACCUACAUGUCUGCCUAUAGGGAAAUGAUUAAAUGAAGUUUAAUGAGGCCUUGGAACCUCGUCAGAGGAGAGGCAAAUACAGAAUCCUAAGCCAGCUUGCUGCAGUUGCUAGGAGGGCUGUGUAAUUCUUGGUUCAUGGCUAACUUUCUACUGUGCCCUGCCACAGUUCUUGAUUGGAGGGAGAUAAAACCAUUCACUGACACCUGGCUAGCAUGUCCAAAGUGCCACCUCUCCUUGUUUCUUUGCUUUGUGAAUAUCUAUCUAUCUAUCUAUCUAUCUAUCUAUCUAUCCAUCCAUUCAUCCAUCUAUCAUCUAUCUACCCACACAUCCAUCAAUCUAUCCAUCCAUCCAUCCAUCCCUAUCUACCAUCUAUUUCUUUAUUUAUAUAUAUUUUCUUCCUUUUCCUUUGACCAUCCUUUAUCUGUCCACUGAUACCCAUAAGGUCAAUAGACGUCAAUGUCCUCCUGUAGCUGGAAGAAGACACAGAUUACUUUAAUAGUAAAUAUGACCAUCUAGUAAGAACCUAUUAGUUACCAGGCACAGCAUGAAGAAAUCAGAAAGUGCUUAGCACGUGGGCUGACACACAUAAGUGUCAUGGAAAAGAACAUUAUAUUGAGUUCCUUCCUUUGUUGG